rnacentral:rRNA from 1 species
AUACCCCAUAGUCCGAGAGGUUAAAGGCAGAGAUGUGCCGUAGGAGGUGCUCGUGUCCUAUCAGCUAGUUGGUGAGGUAAGGGCUCACCAAGGCGACGACGGGUAGCCGGCCUGAGAGGGUGAACGGCCACACUGGAACUGAGAUACGGUCCAGACUCCUACGGGAGGCAGCAGUGGGGAAUAUUGGGCAAUGGGAGGAAUCCUGACCCAGCGACGCCGCGUGAACGAUGAAGGCCUUAGGGUUGUAAAGUUCUUUUAUGUGGGAAGAAGGAAGUGACGGUACCACAUGAAUAAGCCCCGGCUAACUACGUGCCAGCAGCCGCGGUAAUACGUAGGGGGCGAGCGUUGUCCGGAAUUACUGGGCGUAAAGGGCACGCAGGCUGUGAUUCAAGUCAGCUGUAAGAGGAUGCGGCUUAACCGUGUUAUGCAGUUGAGACUGAGGUGCUGGAGUACCGGAGAGGCAAGUGGAAUUCCCAGUGUAGCGGUGAAAUGCGUAGAUAUUGGGAAGAACAUCGGUGGCGAAGGCGACUUGCUGGACGGUAACUGACGCUGAGGUGCGAAAGCCAGGGUAGCGAACGGGAUUAGAUACCCCGGUAGUCCUGGCGGUAAACGAUGAAUGCUAGGUGUGCGAGCAGAGAUGUUGGCGUGC